UACGUAGGGAGCAAGCGUUGUUCGGAUUUACUGGGCGUAAAGGGCGCGUAGGCGGCGCGGUAAGUCACUUGUGAAAUCUCUGAGCUUAACUCAGAACGGCCAAGUGAUACUGCAGUGCUAGAGUGCAGGAAGGGGCAAUCGGAAUUCUUGGUGUAGCGGUGAAAAUGCGUUAGAUAUCAAAGAGGGAAACACCCGUGGGCGAAAGGGCGGGCCCUGGGCCCGUACCUGAAACCGCCUGAGGGCGCGAAAGGCUAGGGAGCGAAACGGG
rnacentral:rRNA from 1 species